GAAGCGGGUGAAGAAGAUUUCUUUUGCUCUUGCUUCUUUCGAAUGCGGGCAAGGAGUUCCUUUCGCUUUGUGCCAGCGAGAGGAUUUCACUUUUUCUGACGUGGCACACUACCUGCGGUCAGAGGACCCUUCUGGAAAUCCGAUUAAGAAGAAGAAGGGUGCGCAUCUGUACCGCGAGGCGGUCCUUCCACACUUGGCCGUGAGACUUCGCGGCGCUAAGCUGAUACGAGAAAGGAAGGUCCAAGAGACUGGCC
rnacentral:lncRNA from 1 species